UCCGGUUUGUCACCGGCAGUCUCCUUAGAGUGCCCUUGCGUAGCAACUAAGGACAAGGGUUGCGCUCGUUGCGGGACUUAACCCAACAUCUCACGACACGAGCUGACGACAGCCAUGCAGCACCUGUGUUCCGAUUCCCUUUCGGGCACCCCCACCUCUCAGCAGGGUCUCGGACAUGUCAAGGGUAGGUAAGGUUUUUCGCGUUGCAUCGAAUUAAUCCACAUCAUCCACCGCUUGUGCGGGUCCCCGUCAAUUCCUUUGAGUUUUAAUCUUGCGACCGUACUCCCCAGGCGGUCAACUUCACGCGUUAGCUUCGUUACUAAGGGAUAGCCUCCCCCAACAACCAGUUGACAUCGUUUAGGGCGUGGACUAC
rnacentral:misc_RNA from 1 species